GGAACCUGGUUGAUCCUGCCAGUAGUCAUAUGCUUGUCUCAAGGAUUAAGCCAUGCAUGUGAUAGGACGAGGGGCGUAGACCCCGAACCUGCGAAUGGCUCAUUAAACAAGUUAUAAUCCAUUGGAUUGGGAGUGAUCUGCACAUGGAUAACUGUGCUAACCGUAGAGCUAAUACAUGCGUUGAACCGACCGCA
rnacentral:rRNA from 1 species